CUUCGCAUAACCUGUUGAAUACUCACUGGACGUUCUAAUAAAGUUCUGGAUUACAAACCGUAGUGCACAGUCCAUGUCAAGAAGAAAAAACGAAAGAAGAGUGAAGACGAAGAAAUCUGCAGGUUUCAUCCGCACAGCCAGGAUGUGUUGCUAUACUCUGGGGAAGGAUUGUGAUUUAACCUGGCGUCAAACGGACAGCUUCCUGGCAGAAUUCAGAGAGAGCCGCAGUGAAUGAUUUGCAUUUCACACUGGUGUUAAAAUAGGAAAUAAAGUUUGAUCUCGGCCAAUUCCCACCCACGAACCAGCUCUCCCCUAUCAUACAACUGCUACCAACCAGGGAGGGUGAAGUGAGUUUUAGCGGGUGGCCUUCUCUUGUCAGGUU